AUUGAACGCUGGCGGCAGGCCUAACACAUGCAAGUCGAACGAGUGGCGGACGGGUGAGUAAUGUCUGGGAAACUGCCUGAUGGAGGGGGAUAACUACUGGAAACGGUAGCUAAUACCGCAUACCAUCGGAUGUGCCCAGAUGGGAUUAGCUAGUAGGUGGGGUAAAGGCUCACCUAGGCGACGAUCCCUAGCGGGUCUGAGAGGAUGACCAGCCAAACGGGAACUGGGAAACGGUCAGGACUCCUACGGAAGGAGGAAGUGGGGAAUAUUGGACAAGGGGCGAAAGCCGGAGGCAGCCAUGCCGGGUGUAUGAGGAAGGCCUUCGGGUUGUAAAGUACGUUCAGCGGGGAGGCGGUACCCGAAGAAGAAGCACCGGCUAACUCCGUGCCAGCAGCCGCGGUAAUAC
rnacentral:rRNA from 1 species